GCCCAAGCGGGGAAGGAUGAGAAGCUUCGACCAAGGUUCGACUUGAGCGCCAGCGAGAGAGCGUUGCCGCAGGCAACGACCCGAAGGGCGAAGCGCGCAGCGCUGAGUAAUCCUUCCCCCACCACCA
rnacentral:sRNA from 1 species